rnacentral:rRNA from 1 species
UACUCUUGACAUCCAGCGAACUUAGCAGAGAUGCUUUGGUGCCUUCGGGAACGCUGAGACAGGUGCUGCAUGGCUGUCGUCAGCUCGUGUUGUGAAAUGUUGGGUUAAGUCCCGCAACGAGCGCAACCCUUAUCCUUUGUUGCCAGCGAUUCGGUCGGGAACUCAAAGGAGACUGCCGGUGAUAAACCGGAGGAAGGUGGGGAUGACGUCAAGUCAUCAUGGCCCUUACGAGUAGGGCUACACACGUGCUACAAUGGCGCAUACAAAGAGAAGCGACCUCGCGAGAGCAAGCGGACCUCACAAAGUGCGUCGUAGUCCGGAUCGGAGUCUGCAACUCGACUCCGUGAAGUCGGAAUCGCUAGUAAUCGUGGAUCAGAAUGCCACGGUGAAUACGUUCCCGGGCC